rnacentral:rRNA from 1 species
GAUGAACGCUGGCGGCGUGCCUAAUACAUGCAAGUCGAGCGAACAGACAAGGAGCUUGCUCCUCUGACGUUAGCGGCGGACGGGUGAGUAACACGUGGAUAACCUACCUAUAAGACUGGGAUAACUUCGGGAAACCGGAGCUAAUACCGGAUAACAUGUUGAACCGCAUGGUUCAACAGUGAAAGACGGUCUUGCUGUCACUUAUAGAUGGAUCCGCGCCGCAUUAGCUAGUUGGUAAGGUAACGGCUUACCAAGGCAACGAUGCGUAGCCGACCUGAGAGGGUGAUCGGCCACACUGGAACUGAGACACGGUCCAGACUCCUACGGGAGGCAGCAGUAGGGAAUCUUCCGCAAUGGGCGAAAGCCUGACGGAGCAACGCCGCGUGAGUGAAGAAGGUCUUCGGAUCGUAAAACUCUGUUAUUAGGGAAGAACAAAUGUGUAAGUAACUAUGCACGUCUUGACGGUACCUAAUCAGAAAGCCACGGCUAACUACGUG